rfam:Glycine soja cultivar W05 scaffold708_42, whole genome shotgun sequence.
UUCUUAUUGGAUGAUGACUGACACGUGUCAUAGUCUGACUAGAUGUCGAAUUCAUGAAAGAUGAAAUACAUUGCUGUUGUCAUUGAUAAAUUAAAUUAUGACACGUAAUUGUCCUCAUCC